GACGAACGCUGGCGGCGUGCCUAAUACAUGCAAGUAGAACGCACAGUUUAUACCGUAGCUUGCUACACCAUAGACUGUGAGUUGCGAACGGGUGAGUAACGCGUAGGUAACCUGCCUGGUAGCGGGGGAUAACUAUUGGAAACGAUAGCUAAUACCGCAUAAUAUUGAUUAUUGCAUGAUAAUUGAUUGAAAGAUGCUAUUGCAUCACUACCAGAUGGACCUGCGUUGUAUUAGCUAGUAGGUGAGGUAACGGCUCACCUAGGCGACGAUACAUAGCCGACCUGAGAGGGUGAUCGGCCACACUGGGACUGAGACACGGCCCAGACUCCUACGGGAGGCAGCUGUAGGGAAUCUUCGGCAAUGGACGAAAGUCUGACCGAGCAACGCCGCGUGAGUGAAGAAGGUUUUCGGAUCGUAAAGCUCUGUUGUAAGAGAAGAACGGGUGUGAGAGUGGAAAGUUCACACUGUGACGGUAUCUUACCAGAAAGGGACGGCUAACUACGUG
rnacentral:rRNA from 1 species